rnacentral:pre_miRNA from 1 species
UCAUUUAGGGCCUGAUCCAAAGUCCAUUGAAGUCAAUGGGAGCCUUUCCUCUGAUUUCGGUGGGUUUUGGAUUGGGCCCCUGAAGA